AUGGAAGACCUAGAGCAAAAAGCCAUAGCCACCGCCCCCCCAAACUGCAAAAUAAAACUAUGGAAACGCUACGUAGACGACAUACUGGAAAUCAUACCAAAAGGUCAAACAGAAACACUAACACAACACUUAAACAAUAUUGACGACACGGGCAACAUAAAAUUCACUUAUGAGUUAGAAACAGAAGGCAGCAUAGCAUUUAUGGACAUGAAAAUCACCAGGCAGACCGACGGGACCCUAAACAUAAACACAUACAGGAAACCAACACACACAGACCAAUAUCUAUUAUGGACAUCAGAACACCCCACCAUACACAAAAUGUCAGUAAUCAGAACAUUAUAUCACCGAGCAAACAUAAUAACAGAAGAGAGAGACCGUAAACAAGAGGACAAACACAUACAACACGCUUUAAAGACCUGCAGAUACCCGACAUGGGCAAUAAACAAAGGAAAACAACAAACAAAAACAGAAAGCAAAGAACAACCCAAAAAAAGAACCAGAAACCCAGAAAGACAAGAACCAAAACCAGUGAUAACCCUACCAUACAUCAGAGGCAUAACGGAAAAAAUAAGAGCAACAAUGAAAAAACACAACAUAAACACACCAACAAAGCCAUACACAACAGUUAGAAACAGACUAGUACACCCAAAAGACAAAAUAUCAGCUGGACAAAAAUGUGGAGUCAUCUACGAAAUCCCAUGCAAAAUAUGCAAUAAAACAUACAUAGGAGAAACCGGACGCCAACUCAAUACACGGACAAUAGAACACAGAAAGGAGUGCGAGAAAGAGGCAAAUCGUAAACACACAAGAGCAGCAAAAGAAGAAGCAGAAAGUACAAUAAAAAAGUCAGCCGUAACAGAUCAUUGCUUAAGAGAAAACCAUAUAAUGGACUGGGACAACACACGGAUCAUAACCACUGAACAACAAAAAUACAAAAGAUGGAUCAAGGAAGCAAUCGAGAUAAGGAGACGUGGAUGUGGGACCAUGAACAGGGACGACGGAGUUUACACGCUGGACCACGCAUGGGACUGCAUCGUCGGAGAGGGGAGAGCGGGCAGUAGAGGGCGACAACGUCCUCUGCUGCCCGCAGAUAAACGGAGAAGGAAAUGA
rnacentral:lncRNA from 1 species